rnacentral:rRNA from 1 species
CAACUUGAGAGUUUGAUCCUGGCUCAGAACGAACGCUGGCGGCAGGCCUAACACAUGCAAGUCGAGCGUGAUUCCAGAACUUCGGUUCUGGAUGAAAGCGGCGAACGGGUGAGUAACGCGUGGGAACGUGCCCCUUAGUAUGGAAUAGCCCGGGGAAACCUGGAAUAAUACCAUAUACGCCCUUCGGGGGAAAGAUUUAUCGCUAAGGGAUCGGCCCGCGUCUGAUUAGGUAGUUGGUGAGGUAAAGGCUUACCAAGCCUACGAUCAGUAGCUGGUUUGAGAGGAUGAUCAGCCACACUGGGACUGAGACACGGCCCAGACUCCUACGGGAGGCAGCAGUG